UCGGGAAUCUUCGGCAAUGGACGAAAGUCUGACCGAGCAACGCCGCGUGAGUGAAGAAGGUUUUCGGAUCGUAAAACUCUGUUGUUAGAGAAGAACAAGGACGUUAGUAACUGAACGUCCCCUGACGGUAUCUAACCAGAAAGCCACGGCUAACUACGUGCCAGCAGCCGCGGUAAUACGUAGGUGGCAAGCGUUGUCCGGAUUUAUUGGGCGUAAAGCGAGCGCAGGCGGUUUCUUAAGUCUGAUGUGAAAGCCCCCGGCUCAACCGCGGAGGGUCAAUGGAAACAGGGAGACUUGAGUGCAGAAGAGGAGAGUGGAAUUCCAUGUGUAGCGGUGAAAUGCGUAGAUAUAAGGAGGAACACCGGGGGCGAAGGCGGCUCUCUGGUCUGUAACUGACGCUGAGGCUAGAAAGCGUGGGGAGCAAAAAGA
rnacentral:rRNA from 1 species